AUACUUACCUGGCAGGCGAGGCACCAUGAUCAUGAAAGUGGUUUUCCANGGAUGAAGCUCAUCCAUUGCACUCCGGGUGUGCUGACCACUGUGAUUUUCCUUAAUGUGGGAAAUUGACUGCAUAAUUUGUGAUAGCGGGGGACUGUGUUCACGCUUUCCCCUG
rnacentral:snRNA from 1 species